rnacentral:rRNA from 1 species
GAACCCUGUAGAGAUACGGGGGUGCCUUCGGGAACUGUGAGACAGGUGCUGCAUGGCUGUCGUCAGCUCGUGUUGUGAAAUGUUGGGUUAAGUCCCGCAACGAGCGCAACCCUUAUCCUUUGUUGCCAGCGGUCCGGCCGGGAACUCAAAGGAGACUGCCAGUGAUAAACUGGAGGAAGGUGGGGAUGACGUCAAGUCAUCAUGGCCCUUACGACCAGGGCUACACACGUGCUACAAUGGCGCAUACAAAGAGAAGCGACCUCGCGAGAGCAAGCGGAUCUCAUAAAGUGCGUCGUAGUCCGGAUUGGAGUCUGCAACUCGACUCCAUGAAGUCGGAAUCGCUAGUAAUCGUGGAUCAGAAUGCCACGGUGAAUACGUUCCCGGGCCUUGUACACACCGCCCGUCACACCAUGGGAGUGGGUUGCAAAAGAAGUAGGUAGCUUAACCUUCGGGAGGGCGCUUACCACUUUGUGAUUCAUGACUGGGGUGAAGUCGUAACAAGGUAACCGUAGGGGAACCUGCGGUUGGAUCACCUCCUUACCUUAAAGAAGC